GAUGAACGCUGACAGAAUGCUUAACACAUGCAAGUCAACUUGAACUUCGGUUUGGGUGGCGGACGGGUGAGUAACGCGUAAAGAACUUGCCUCACAGAUAGGGACAACAUCUGGAAACGAAUGCUAAUACCUGAUAUUAUGAUUAUAUGGCAUCGUAUAAUUAUGAAAGCUAUAUGCGCUGUGAGAGAGCUUUGCGUCCCAUUAGCUAGUUGGAGAGGUAACGGCUCACCAAGGCGAUGAUGGGUAGCCGGCCUGAGAGGGUGAUCGGCCACAAGGGGACUGAGACACGGCCCUUACUCCUACGGGAGGCAGCAGUGGGGAAUAUUGGACAAUGGACCAAGAGUCUGAUCCAGCAAUUCUGUGUGCACGAUGAAGUUUUUCGGAAUGUAAAGUGCUUUCAGUUGGGAAGAAAAAAAUGACGGUACCAACAGAAGAAGUGACGGCUAAAUACGUG
rnacentral:rRNA from 1 species